UGCAAAGAAAGCAUCUUCAUGGGCAUGUCUCUCUCUACCUUUCAGGCAGCAGCAUAGGAGGAAAGUCAGAGGAGGAUGGAAACAUGACCCCUCCACCCCUGAAAUGGGGAGGAAUGCUUUUGGGAGACUGAAACACUACCACUGGCGUGAUUACCACCUCUCAGCCCUCUCCAGCUCCGUGCUCCCAGGGACAUUUGCAGGCUGCAAUAACCUGGGUUUUCAAAGGAGCCCUGAAAACCUGCCAAAGCUGCCCCUGCAGAGCUGCCAUCCUAAAGCACAGGUCUUGCCCCAGCUGGUGUUACAACCCAGCACACCACCAAUGAAGGCCCUUCCCAGCCUGCCACCCCGCAACAUACCGCUGCCUGCCAUGCCCUGCCACGUUGACCUCCCCAGCCACCUGCUCCCCCUCUAUGAGCAACAUAAGCUCUUCAACAAGUUCGGGAAGCCAGUUUGAAAAUUUAAAGUGCCAUUCAACUUUUUUUUUUUUUUUUCCUUUUUUCUUUUAACACCAUCACUUCCUUGAAGCUCUGCAGAACUCAGGGAAGUAUUUCAUAAGAGCCAAUUACUGCACCUGGGUUUUCAAAUGAAGAAAAUUUGACACUUCAUGUUGAAAGGCUUUUUGAUAUAAUCCUUUUAUUUCCCCCCCCCCCAUAUAUGUCCAGAAGUGCACAUUUCAAACAAGAGUUCCUGGCUUACAAGCUUCUUAAUUGAUCAUUUUGCUGAGAUGCAUAAAGCCAAGUCUGAGCAGCUCCAGUUUAACCUACAGGCUGAGCAUGUGCAGACUUUCAGGUUAUAUACACAAGAGUCUGAUUUUCUGUUUAGGGCUCUCUUAAAGGUUGAAAGUAAAGACUGCCAGUUACCAGGAACAAGGAAUCUAUGUCAUUAGAUAACUGGAAGCAUUUACAAUUCAUUGCACUUGAAUGUAGGCUGAGAUUUAAAGGUUUUUUGUUGUUGUUCAGAACUCCCCAUAUCCUCCCAUUUCUACAGACAAUCUUAGACUUGCAAGAUGCAAUGACAAGUGUGCAAAGACAGCCACUCAAUAGGAAAACAUGAAUUUACCUUUAACACAAAGGACCUAGUACAUCUGGAAAAAGAAAAUAAUCCAACACACACUUGGGGUUUUCCAUCCCUUCUCUCUUACAUUAGAAAUUCACAUCAGGAAUAUCAGGAUGCUACAGCAGCAUCCAAGAGCUAGCUUAAGUGCCAUCAUUUGCAUUCAGAAAGCAAUGACUCCCCUAUUUCUGUCAAGGAUUUUCUGUGUGAAAAUACAGGGGCAUGUUCCAGGCAGUACAUGCAGAGCCUGGCCAAGCAGCUUCAGGACACCUCAGCACCUAUUUGCACUGCAGGACAGACUGCCCAACACAGCCUGGGCACACAAGGCUUGUUGAGUACAUGUGUGCAGAGAAAAGGUGUUUUCUCUCAGGAGGUAUUACAGCAUAAGAAGAGGUGCUGGC
rnacentral:lncRNA from 1 species